AUUGAACGCUGGCGGCAUGCCUUACACAUGCAAGUCGAACGGCAGCGCGGGGCAACCUGGCGGCGAGUGGCGAACGGGUGAGUAAUAUAUCGGAACAUACCCUAGAGUGGGGGAUAACGUAGCGAAAGUUACGCUAAUACCGCAUACGCACUAAGGUGGAAAGUGGGGGAUCUUCGGACCUCAUGCUCAUGGAGUGGCCGAUAUCUGAUUAGCUAGUUGGUGAGGUAAAGGCUCACCAAGGCGACGAUCAGUAGCUGGUUUGAGAGAACGACCAGCCACACUGGAACUGAGACACGGUCCAGACUCCUACGGGAGGCAGCAGUGGGGAAUUUUGGACAAUGGGGGGCAACCCUGAUCCAGCAAUGCCGCGUGAGUGAAGAAGGCCUCGGUU
rnacentral:rRNA from 1 species